UAGGGAAUCUUCCACAAUGGACGCAAGUCUGAUGGAGCAACGCCGCGUGAGUGAAGAAGGCUUUCGGGUCGUAAAACUCUGUUAUUGAAGAAGAACGUGUGUGACAGUAACUGGUCAUGCAGUGACGGUAUUCAAUCAGAAAGUCACGGCUAACUACGUGCCAGCAGCCGCGGUAAUACGUAGGUGGCAAGCGUUGUCCGGAUUUAUUGGGCGUAAAGCGAGUGCAGGCGGUCUUUUAAGUCUGGUGUGAAAGCCUUCGGCUUAACCGAAGAAGGGCAUCGGAAACUGGGGAGACUUGAGUGCAGAAGA
rnacentral:rRNA from 1 species